rnacentral:rRNA from 1 species
UACGGAGGGGGCAAGCGUUGUUCGGAAUUACUGGGCGUAAAGGGCGCGUAGGCGGCCUGCUAAGUCGAACGUGAAAUCCCCGGGCUCAACCCGGGAACUGCGUCCGAUACUGGUUGGCUUGAAUCCGGGAGAGGGAUGCGGAAUUCCAGGUGUAGCGGUGAAAUGCGUAGAUAUCUGGAGGAACACCGGUGGCGAAGGCGGCAUCCUGGACCGGCAUUGACGCUGAGGCGCGAAAGCCAGGGGAGCAAACGGG